rnacentral:rRNA from 1 species
GACGAACGCUGGCGGCGUGCUUAACACAUGCAAGUCGAACGGAAAGGCCCUGCUUUUGUGGGGUGCUCGAGUGGCGAACGGGUGAGUAACACGUGAGUAACCUGCCCUUGACUUUGGGAUAACUUCAGGAAACUGGGGCUAAUACCGGAUAGGAGCUCCUGCUGCAUGGUGGGGGUUGGAACGUUUCGGCGGUUGGGGAUGGACUCGCGGCUUAUCAGCUUGUUGGUGGGGUAGUGGCUUACCAAGGCUUUGACGGGUAGCCGGCCUGAGAGGGUGACCGGCCACAUUGGGACUGAGAUACGGCGCAGACUCCUACGGGAGGCAGCAGUGGGGAAUAUUGCACAAUGGGCGGAAGCCUGAUGCAGCAACGCCGCGUGCGGGAUGACGGCCUUCGGGGUGUAAACCGCUGUCGCCUGUGACGAAGCGUGAGUGACGGUAAUGGGUAAAGAAGCACCGGCUAACUACGUG